rnacentral:rRNA from 1 species
UGCCGAAUCAACUAGCCCUGAAAAUGGAUGGCGCUGAGCGUGACGCUCAUACCCGGCCGUCGGCGGCAGUGAAGUACGCCCCGACGAGUAGGAGGGACGCCGUGGUGAGCAACGAAGCGACGGCCGAGAGGCCGCGCGGAGCCGCCUCGGGCGCAGAUCUUGGUGGUAGUAGCAAAUACUCAAGUGAGAGCCUUGAGGGCCGAGUCGUGGAGAAGGGUUCCAUGUGAACAGCCGUUGCACAUGGGUCAGUCGAUCCUAAGGUCUAGGGUAGUUCCGCUCCGAGCGGCGGCGCGCGCCCACCUCCCCGGUGGGUAAGCGCUCCCUGGCCGAAAGGGAAUCGGGUCAAUAUUCCCGAACCUGAAGGUGGAGCCCGCCGCCACUAUGGCGGUCAGAGCUGUAAAGCUAUCGAGCCCGGAGACGCCGACCGGAGCCCCGGGAAGAGUUGUCUUUUCUUUGUAAGGGGCGCGGCUCCCUGAAACCGGCUGGAUCGGAGAGAGGGACCGCGGCCCCGUAGAGCGCCGCGUCUGGAGCGGCGUCCGGAGUUGCACCGGUCGGCCCUUGAAAAUCCGGGGGACGAGCGUGGACUCUCCACCUCAGAUCGUAC